GGAGCCUGGGCUGUGCUUUCCGCUCUCCAGCUGAUUCCAAUACACACCAAAGUUUGAGAACCACAGUCAAAGCUGCAGCAGCCACCCUGUGUCUGAAGGAAAUUCAGAGACACUGGUCACCAGAUGAGACGCUGAAGCAAUCCUAGCAGUCACUUACCUUCAGGCUGCUUGCUAUGUGCAAAGAAAAAAAAAAAGCUACUUAAGAUAUUUUAAGUAAUUGUGGCUGAAAGCGUUGUCGGUUGAUACACAGCCAAAUCAAAAGAGGAAUCACAACCAAUUAUAAUGUCCCCAAUGCCCAUAGAAUCAAAAUGUUCCAGUUGCUCAGAAGAAAUUCAACUUAGGCCCCGAGGCCAAAGAAAAAUUACUCCCCUAGGCCUGCAUGAAGGAGACACUGCUUGCUGUGUUAUCUUCUCAGGCUGUACACUCACCCACCCUGACAGCCUCCAAACUGUAUUGAAACCGUGCUGCCUUUUAAGAAGAGCAAUAGUCUCCUUUGAGGUCAGAACUUCGAAGUACUGCUCGAUAGUCAGAACUGGUCAUGGGAAGUCAACAGAGAGCAGCCCUGAAUGGAGCAACGUUGGGCCCGGCAAUGCAGGUGCAGGUGACAGUCAUCACUGCACAAAGGUCUCAGCAGCACCUCACCUUGGCAUCCAAGCCAGGCAGUGGGGUGACAGGGCUGGGACAUUAGGAGAAUCGGAUCGUCUAGUUUUCAGAGUGUCUAGUGAAGCCUGGGGUCUCCUACAUGACUGUUUAACUUGCCCAUCUCCUUGUCCGGAAGCCCCCAGUCCUAUCACUGGAGCUACUUAGCUUGGACCAGCUAAUUCUUACCAGACAGAGCUGAAGGAGCCUGGACCAGUGAAUCACUAUAAAAUUUGACUUGUUGGAAAUUCUGCUAUGUCCUUGAACCUCAGCUCUCUAACUGAGCUCUGGCCUUUUCUCUUCGCUCCUUAGUCCAUAUCCUCAUAUUUUGAACUCCAAACCAAUUCCAUUCAAAUGUCUGUACUAUCUUUCUCUCUUCAGUUCUCCUGGGUUCUAGUCUUGGCCCUGAAAAUGUGUGACCCAGUUGCUUUGAUGUCUAUCUGUCCUAUGACUGGAGCCUCCCAGGCUUCCCAGCUAAGCCUUUCUUGACUCUGGGCUUACCGACCAAGACGUCCCCUCUUCCCUCCUAGACGGAAGAAUGGCUACAGCUCAUUGAGAGCUGUAGGCCAAGACCUCUGCGAAGAACUUUGGAAGGGAGAUAUUGUCAUUGUUAUUUUAUAUCUGAGGAAACUGAGGCUUGGAGACCAAUGUUUGCAUAUGACAAUGGCUUGUUGGAUGAAUAUAACUCAAGGAGUCCUGGAGUUUUAUGAUAUUUCUAAACCAGCCAAGCACAAUGCAAGAUAAAUCAUUAAACAUGAAAUCCAGAAUUUAGAUCCUUCAAUCAAAGUGAAGUCAUUCUUUCUAUUAGUCACACAAAAUUGCUAGUCAGAAUUAAAGAAACCUUUGGGUUAUCAUAGAAUAGUCAUCCAAUCUCAAUGGCCUUGAAUUAUUGCUAAAGAAGGAAUAGUCAACAAAGCUCAAGAACUCCUAGCACUAACUCAAUAAUGUUAAAACUGUCUUUAUAGAGAACUCUAAAGGCAUUUAAUUAUUUUCUAUUUGAAAUAGCGUUUCAUUUUGACUGAGUUGCAAUCAUAUUUAAGACCAAUGAAUUAGCUUUAGUUAUUCUGUGUUCUCAUGAUGCAUUCAAUUUAUUCAUUUAUUUACUAUACAUUUAUGGAAUGCCUGCAAUGUGCCCUGAAAUGUGUGAGGGCUGGAUAUGUGACAGUGAGGAAAAUAGACGUGAUGAUAACCCUCUUGGCACUUAAAUCUAGUAGAAGAGAGAGACAAGACAGAAAAUAAUUUUAGAUAAUAAAAAAAUAUUAUUAAAAAAUAAACAAGGCAUUUUCACAGAGAUAAUGGGUUGGAAGUAUUGUUACUUUAGAUACGAUUAUCAAGAGAGGCAUCUCCAAGGAGGAGACAUCUAAACUGAGACCAGAAAAAUGGGAAAUAUCCCAUCAUGCCAUGUGAAA
ensembl:lncRNA